rnacentral:tmRNA from 1 species
GGGGUCGAAAUGGUUUCGACGGAGAUUGGUUUGUCUUUAAUUGCAGCCGAGUGAUGACGAUAUCAUCAAAACAAUAAUAACUGCCAACAGUUAUAUGAGAGCUCCUAGAGCUCAAUCCCUCUGCUUAGCUUAAUUUAGCUCCCGACAUAGGGUCCGACGCAAGGCGCCGGGCAGAGUGCCCUCCAAGGUUUUCGCCUUUCACGCUUGGAUAAGGUAUCAUACCAAAAGGCUAGUAACGUGAAGUAGACUUGUUAUCCGUUAUGAAAUUGGUAAGUCUCGCAUGCCCUAGUCUGUCAAUAUGCGAAUGCAUGCUAAAUGUAAAUAUUGUCUAAGCUGUAGACAUUAUUGAGUGACUAUCUUCGGACGCGGUUUCGAUACCGCCGGCUCCACCA